GAGAUUUGGGUAGUCCGCACGAGCGCACCCUGAUCCUAUGUUGCCAGCAAGUAAUGUUGGGGACUCAUGGGAGACUGCCGGUGAUAAACCGGAGGAAGGUGGGGAUGACGUCAAGUCAUCAUGCCCCUUAUGUCCAGGGUCUGCACGCAUGCUACAAUGGCAAGUACAACGAGUCGCAAUAUCGCAAGAUGGAGCAAAUCUCUUAAAGCUUGUCUCAGUUCGGAUAGGAGUCUGCAACUCGACUCCUUGAAGUUGGAGUCGCUAGUAAUCGCAAAUCAGCAAAGUUGCGGUGAAUACGUUCUCGGGGUUUGUACACACCGCCCGUCAAGUCACGGAAGUCGGCAAUACCCGAAGCCUGUGGUCCAACCCUUUUGGGAGGAAGCAGUCGAAGGUAGGGUCGGUAACUGGGACUAAGUCGUAACAAGGUAGCCGUACGGGAACGUGCGGCUGGAUCACCUCCUUUCU
rnacentral:rRNA from 1 species